GACAGAGGGUGCAAACGUUGCUCGGAAUUACUGGGCGUAAAGCGCGUGUAGGUGGAUGGGUGUGUCAGAUGUGAAAGCCCUGGGCUCAACCCAGGAAUUGCACCUGAAACUACCAGUCUUGAGUGGUGGAGAGGGAAGUGGAAUUCCUGGUGUAGCGGUGAAAUGCGCAGAUAUCAGGAGGAACACCGGUGGCGAAGGCGGGUCUCUGGGCCGAUACUGACGCUGAGGAGCGAAAGCGUGGGGAGCGAACAGG
rnacentral:rRNA from 1 species